AAGCUGCAUGAGUGUCUCAGGAUGAGCCAAACUAGGCAAACAAGGCAGUGCAAUCCUUCUCACUGACUCACUGGCUCAAAAUGUCUCAUAUGUACAGUAGUUCUGUUUUGUGAUGAUUCAAACAACAUUGUUGAAUUCUAAAUACGUGUCUAAAAUAUGUGAGAACAAAAUCUUUGAUAAUGAUCCGAUUAAAAGUGAAGAAGGAAGGAAUGCGUCUGACAAGUUUAUUCCAUGUAGUAGUAAUAUAUAUAUUAAGUUAGCCCUACUUUAAGUACGAUUUAUUUGUAGCGAUUUAUUCACGUAGUUUUACUCGGUAUGGCCCAGUGGUUUUCUUUUUCGGCCCACUUGUUAAGGAGGUUGAAUAGCCCAUUGUAUGCAAUGUAUUUUUUGAACUUCUGUAUUUCAGUGACGUGUGCAAUGGAAGGGGGGGGGGGGGGGGGGGGACUGGGGGAAUUUCAGACAUUUGUCAUGAAAUUUCCCUCUGUCAUCCUGCUCUGUAAAACUUAGGGUUUAAGUGAACCAGGUAGUAAACAUUCAGCUUGCUCUGUUAAACAUGGGGUGAGUUUGAGUGAACCAGGUAGUAAAUAUUCAGCCUGCUUUACAUGGGGUUUGAUUGAACCAGUUAGUAAACAUUCAGCCUGCCCUGUUAAACAGCGGUUUACAUGAACCAGGUUGUAAACAUUCAGCCUGCUAUGUUAAACAUGGGGGUUAAGUGAACCAGGUAGUAAAAAUUUAGCCUGCUCUGUUAAUCUUGGGGUUUAAGUGAACCGGGUAGUAAACAUUCAGCCUGCUAUGUAAGUGAACCAGGUAGUAAACAUUCAGCCUGCUCUAAUAAACAUGGGAUUUUAUCGAACCAGGCAGUAAACAUUCAGCCUGCUCUGUUAAACAUGGGGUUAACAUGAAACAGGUAGUAAACAUUCAGCUUGCUCUGUUAAACAUGAGGUUUAAGUGAACCAGGUAGUAAACAUUCAGCCUGCUCUGGUAAACAUGGGUUUUAAGUGAACCAGGUAGUAAACAUUCAGCCUGCUCUAGUAAACAUGGGUUUUAAGUGAAUAAGGUAGUAAACAUUCAGCCUGAAGGUUUAAA